AUAAAAAAUUUCGGUUUGAAAAGUUUGUGUCGUAUUCGUUCACAAAAUUAUUUUGUUUAGGCCUAAAUUGAAUAAAUUUUUGUUUCGUUGCCGCCUCAAAUUUAUCCAGAAGGCUUCAAAAUUAUUAAAAUGCAUAUAAUUUAAAUGUGAAAAUUAUAAAUAUUUUCGCACUUUUGCUUGAGGCUGCAAUUCAAAGCUAAAAGGGCGACUCCUUACAAAAAGAAGUAAAGAUUCCACGGAACACUCGCAGCAGCUCCUUCGUGGUACCAUCUUCGAUAUCGCUUUUAACAAAUUUUUACAAAGUUAAGCAAAAAGAUGGGUUGCUAUCCUAGCUGUUAUUCUUGCUCUUAUCCAUGUGGCUAUCCUUGCGGUUAUCCUAGCCCAUAUUGUUCACCUUGUUCUAUAUCAUAUUGUUCACCUUGUUAUCCAUCCUGUUAUACAUCAUACGGUUGCUGUUCUCCAUGUGGGUAUUACUGUGGAUGUUAAGAGGGAAUAAUGGAUAUCAAAAAGUAACGGAAACAAUAAAAAUGGAAUAACACAUUUCUUUUACAUAAUGAUUUCUUGCGAGUUUCGAAGGUGAUUGAAUUUUAAUUCCUGUACAAUUUGAAGUGAGUUCUCGAGUUAUGAAAGCAGAUACACCUUAGCGAUUUUUAUAUAAGGAGUGAAUAGUAAACCGUUUUGCAAGCAAUAGUCAAGUACGUCAUAUGUUGUGGUUGUUUGCAGAAUAUAUAGUAACCGCAUCAUUAUAGACAUUAUUUGAUAGGAUGUAAAUAGUGUGUAUCCCUAUAUUUUUGGCUUUCUAAAUGGAAGAACAGUUAAUCAAAUACUGGGUCUGAUUGGCAAUGAAGUACGCAUUCCACCGAAAAGCUGUAUUAAGGUAAAAAUUGCAGACAGAAGACUAGGAGCAUACUGGUAUACUGGCAAUAUAGCACCGUUGCCGGUACGGUAUAUGUUAACUUGCAAAAAUUGCUCUUUGAUGUUGACGUCUCUGUCUUAGCAGCAUGUUACCAUAAAUACUUACCAAUAUUGUCGGAAAUUGAAAUCUGAAUGCACUUGCACUGGCUUUCGGACUUAUAACAAUGAUGCCAAUAUACUUAUAAAGUAACACAAAUGUAUGAUGUAUCGCUACAGCCCAUACUCUUAUCCAAGAUUAUUGCUUACAAUAUGGCUUUACAACAAUUGACAUAGCGCCUGGCACCAUUAAUUGUCGCCGCCUUUAGCAUUAUUGCAGUCUCAAGCACUGCGCUAACUGUUGCUGCAUUCGUCAAUGACUUUGUUGUGAAAAUCAAUUGCUCAAGAUCAAUAUGCGAUUGAAUACCAUGUUGUGGCACACAAAGUCAAACUUAGACUGAAUCUGACUGUCGGAGACAAAUCAACGGAGGUGGCUCGCAAAUCCAGAGUCAAAUCCAGAAUACAGUUCCAGCAUUCACAAAACUACAGUGCAGUGGCGUAGUUAUACAUUUAAACCGUUCCAAUGGCACUUUCACCUGCCAGAUUUUUUUAUUAUAUGUUGAAUUUCUUUAUUUUUGGACUUGUACAUUAUUUUAAAUAGCCCUAGAUAAAUAAAU